rnacentral:rRNA from 1 species
GAGAGGAGCUAGCUCUUCUUGGAUGAGUUGCGAACGGGUGAGUAACGCGUANGUAACCUGCCUUGUAGCGGGGGAUAACUAUUGGAAACGAUAGCUAAUACCGCAUAACAAUGGGUGACACAUGUCAUUUAUUUGAAAGGGGCAAUUGCUCCACUACAAGAUGGACCUGCGUUGUAUUAGCUAGUAGGUGAGGUAACGGCUCACCUAGGCGACGAUACAUAGCCGACCUGAGAGGGUGAUCGGCCACACUGGGACUGAGACACGGCCCAGACUCCUACGGGAGGCAGCAGUAGGGAAUCUUCGGCAAUGGGGGCAACCCUGACCGAGCAACGCCGCGUGAGUGAAGAAGGUUUUCGGAUCGUAAAGCUCUGUUGUAAGUCAAGAACGAGUGUGAGAGUGGAAAGUUCACACUGUGACGGUAGCUUACCAGAAAGGGACGGCUAACUACGUGCCAGCAGCCGCGGUAAUACGUAGGUCCCGAGCGUUGUCCGGAUUUAUUGGGCGUAAAGCGAGCGCAGGCGGUUUGAUAAGUCUGAAGUUAAAGGCUGUGGCUCAACCAUAGUUCGCUUUGGAAACUGUCAAACUUGAGUGCAGAAGGGGAGAGUGGAAUUCCAUGUGUAGCGGUGAAAUGCGUAGAUAUAUGGAGGAACACCGGUGGCGAAAGCGGCUCUCUGGUCUGUAACUGACGCUGAGGCUCGAAAGCGUGGGGAGCGAACAGGAUUAGAUACCCUGGUAGUCCACGCCGUAAACGAUGAGUGCUAGGUGUUGGAUCCUUUCCGGGAUUCAGUGCCGCAGCUAACGCAUUAAGCACUCCGCCUGGGAGUACG